GCCGCCGUAGUUCAAUGGAUAGAACGAGUGCCUCCUAAGCGCUAGAUACAGGUUCGAUUCCUGUCGGAGGCGCCA
rnacentral:tRNA from 3 species